GGAAGGAUCAUUGAGUCACAUCGACCCACACAAGAGAAUCAAUGAGUGCUGCUUUUGAGGGGACCUUCUAUCCGGACGGUCCGGCACCUUGGGCAGUCGUCACCUAAAAACCCCAAACUCUAAACCAAACUAAUAUCGUGACGUGCAGCCUGGCUGCGCGUUCAAACAAUACAACUCUCAACAACGGAUAUCUUGGCUCUCGUAACGAUGAAGAACGCAGCGAAAUGCGAUACGUAGUGUGAAUUGCAGAAUUCCGUGAAUCAUCGAGUCUUUGAACGCAUAUUGCGCCCGCAGCCUCGGCUCAGGGCAUGUCUGCCUCAGCGUCGUUUGUUUCACACUCCACAACCCAGGUCUCUGUAUCAGGAUUUGGCUAUUCCAGCGGACGCCUCCCGUGUCGGACAGCUUGAUCCGCAGAACCAUGUGGUUGUAUGUGCAAGGCUAGCAUCUUGUGUACUGGAGUGGAUCUGGCUUUUCCCAAUGAGAAAUCAUGGGUCAGCUUAAAAUGAGACGCGAGCACACUGGACGUUUUGUCCUCAACUGGGCAGGUAGAUAAGUGGGGAAAUCGCCCGGAAAGCGAUGUUAUCUGCGUUGCACCAAGUUGUUGAAAGUGUGUUGGCCAUGCAGGAUACUACAUUACUCAAUCGACCUGAGCUCAGGCAAGACUACCCGCUGAACUUAAGCAUAUCAAUAAGCGGAGGAAAAGAAACUAACAAGGAUUCCCCUAGUAACGGCGAGCGAACCGGGAAUAGCCCAACUGUUAAUCUCCCAUCGGAGAAUUGUAGUCUGUAGAAGCGUCCUCUAUAGCACGCGGAGCCCAAGUCCCCUGGAAAGGGGCGUCGAAGAGGGUGACAACCCCGUCGGUUUCCGUCGUUGCUGUUUCACGAGGUGCUUUCGAAGAGUCGGGUUGCUUGGGAAUGCAGCCCAAAGUGGGUGGUAAAUCCCAUCUAAGGCUAAAUACUGGCGAGAGACCGAUAGCGAACAAGUACCGUGAGGGAAAGAUGAAAAGAACUUUGAAAAGAGAGUUAAAAAGUGCUUGAAAUUGUUGAGAGGGAAGCGUUUGGAAGAUGUGGGUGCGCUCAGGCUUAUGCGUUUUUUCACGAGGCGCCGUAUGUGCUGAGUGCUGGUCAACAUGGGUUGAGCUGGUGGGAUAACAUCAGGGAUUGUUACCCUGUCUAUACCAUUGCCUCGACCAAGGCGUGAAGGCUGCCGUUCGACACUCUGAUCUGCGGCCUCAAGAUGUUGGCAAAAGUCUUCCAACCGGCCCGUCUUGAAACACGGACCAAGGAGUCUAACAUGUAUGCGAGUUGGUGGGUUGCAAACCCAUGAAGCGCAAGGAAACUAACUGGUGGGAUGGCCUGUGCCUGCACCAUCUACCGACCAUGAGCUUUUGCGAAAGGUUUGAGUGCGAGCAUACCUGUUGGGACCCGAAAGAUGGUGAACUAUGCCUGAGCAGGGCGAAGUCAGAGGAAACUCUGAUGGAGGCUCGUAGAUGUGCUGACGUGCAAAUCGCUUUUCGGACUUGGGUAUAGGGGCGAAAGACUAAUCGAACCAUCUAGUAGCUGGUUCCCUC
rnacentral:misc_RNA from 1 species